UCUUUUUGGAGAGUUUGAUCCUGGCUCAGGAUAAACGCUGGCGGCGUGCAUGAGACAUGCAAGUCGAACGGACGAUCAGGGCUUGCUUUGAUCGUUAGUGGCGGACGGCUGAGUAACGCGUAGGUGACCUGUCCCGAAGUGGGGAAUAACUGCCCGAAAGGGUGGCUAAUACCGCAUGUGGUGGUGCGAUCAAUCGCAUCAGUAAAGCCGCAAGGCGCUUCGGGAGGGGCCUGCGUCCGAUUAGCUCGUUGGUGGGGUAACGGCUCACCAAGGCGACGAUCGGUAGGUGGUCUGAGAGGACGAUCACCCAGACUG
rnacentral:rRNA from 1 species